ACGGGCUGAACCGCAAGUACGGCCUCUACAUGUGCCGGCAGGGCUCUCGCCAGUACGCCAAGGACAUCGGCUUCAUUAAGUUGGAUUAACUCCAGUACUUGAAGAUGGCUUGAAAAUAGAUAGGAGGUUGGCACACCUGAAGGAUUUGGCUGGAUCAGAGUCUCUUGCCAUACUUGUACUGUGUAUACAAUGGAAAAAUUGGGUUUUGUUUAUUCCAGUUAUAGCAAUGUUUUCCUAUUAAUAUGUUACAACCACCAAAAUUCUAACCAUGUUCACAUGUCAUCUUUACUAUAUGUGAUUAUGAGAAUCGGUUUAUUUUCUUAGUUCUUCAAUAAAAAAAGGAGUUAAAGUAAA